UACGGGGGGGGGGUAAGCGUUGUUUCGGAAUUACUGGGCGUAAAGGGCUCGUAGGCGCCAACUAAGUCAUACGUGAAAUCCCUCAGCUUAACUGGGGGAACUGCGUCCGAUACUGGAUGGCUUGGAUUUGGGAGAGGGAUGCGGAAUUCCAGGUGUAGCGGUGAAAUGCGUAGAUAUCUGGAGGAACACCGGUGGCGAAGGCGGCAUCCUGGACCGGUAUUGACGCUGAGGCGCGAAAGCCAGGGGAGCAAACGGG
rnacentral:rRNA from 1 species